GUGUUGGCUUCAGCAGCACAUAUACUAAAAUUGGAAUGAUACUGAGAUUAGUAUGGCCCCUGCACAAGGGUGACAUGCAAAUUCAUGAGGCCUUCCAUGUUUUU